UGCGGGGGGGGCAAGCGUUGUUCGGAAUUACUGGGCGUAAAGGGCUCGUAGGUGGCCAACUAAGUCAGACGUGAAAUCCCUCGGCUUAACCGGGGAACUGCGUCUGAUACUGGAUGGCUUGAGUUUGGGAGAGGGAUGCGGAAUUCCAGGUGUAGCGGUGAAAUGCGUAGAUAUCUGGAGGAACACCGGUGGCGAAGGCGGCAUCCUGGACCAACACUGACACUGAGGAGCGAAAGCCAGGGGAGCAAACGGG
rnacentral:rRNA from 1 species